AGGCAGCCAGUCACCUCUGGCCACUUGGGCCCCAGGGCUGCUCGGGGCACCCAGGCGCUCCUGAAGAAGAGGCCCAUUGUUGUGUUUGGGGGCAGCCCCUCCCAGGAGUUUAUGAAGCAAAAAAGAGCUCUGAGGUCACACUAGUCCAACAGCACACAACGGGCAACACCCUUCUGUGCCAAUGAACAAACAAACAGCUGCCUCCCCAGCCCAGCAUCGUGGGGCCUGGGGACCUGAGUGCUCAGGUCACCCGGCAAGCCGGCACAGGUGCAGCAACAGAAUGGGUGGGUGGGGGGGCGCUGGUGAGCACCAUCCCAGAAAACCAAGGCCAAGGAGAGAGGAGAGCCUCCUGGCCACCAUCCCCUCCUGUCUGUGGGCUUCUAUGAAGUGACUGGCCUAUCAAGCCAGAGGCCCAAGGGCUGCUGGCAGGGAACAAACACACAAGAGCAAAGGGUGAAAGCCCUCAAGUUUGAGGCCAGGUUGCCUGACUGAGGCCCUGAACUGGACCCCACUCAAGGGAGCAAAGGCCACACCUCCGUAUCAGGGGCCAUGGGCAGAAACGAGAAGACCAACCUUUAGAGAAGGAGGUGCACAGGGCCUUACAUACAUUCCCUAGCCCAUCCGACGGGCCAACCAAACAGACCUGGGGGUCUGUCCAGACCCUGCUGCUCCAUACUCUGUCUCAGCACCAAUAAACUGAUGUCAGCCUCUCACCGUGAGUCUCUCACCAAGUGAGUCUCUCACCAAGACACCCAGGGCACCCUCCGCCCACCUACAGUGCCACGCCAGGCAGCGCCUCCCCACCAACUGUACCACCGCUGCCCCCUAUGCCAGAUCCCCUGCUAGAUCUGCUAGACCCUCUGCUAGAUCUGCUAGAUCCUACCUCGAAGUUCCAGUCCCCUCUACUAUGCUCAUCUUGGGAGAAGCCAGAGGACCGAGUGUCUGGCAGCCUGUGUGCUUGGAGAGGCCUGCCCAAAGGGCCCUACCUCACCGUGCCUGUUUGGCAGGGACUUAAAAUCCACCACAGGAAACCGCCAGGCUGGAUCAGACACGAGCUGAGGAAGAAGGCUAUGUGAGGCCAGCUCCCGGUUCCACCCACACCCAGAACCCGGACACUGCCUCCGCUGGAAGGCUGGGCCAGGGAUCGUGGCCAGCCUUCCUCCCAACCCUUUACUUGGCCUUCUCCAGCCUUCAGUGGUCAGUGCUGGGCUCGCCUUACUCAGCACAUUUGGACAAACCCACCGAGGCUGCCCCAGCUCACGAGAAGGGUCCAUCAGGAGAACAGAGUGAACCAGCUCCUGUGGACGGGCAGGCAGCCGGGCCUAUCUGACUAAACCCCCGGAAAACCUGAGAAAUCCUCUGUUCCGGAUCUCCCCACUAGCAGAUUUCUCCCCAUAUCUACCUUGAAGCCCAGGCCCCAGCAACCCUCGGAGGUAAACACCAUGUAAAAUCACCAACUGCUCCUCGAGAGCUUAAACUGCUGUUCUGUUUUGACGAUCAGCUGACUAAUGAAUGUUUCACGGUUUUCCUGCAAUUACCCGGGUCAGGUGCCCUAGUUAUGGAAUGAAGGCAGUAUGUCACAUCUCCCUAAGCGACAGUGAAGAUGCUCUGGUGGCCAGGCAGGCAAAGUUCCAGAGCUGGACACAUGGUCUGGUCUACACCAGGCCCACUCCUCCAGGGACCAGGAGGGUUCCCAUGCGCCCCCCCCCCCCGCCCGCCGUACUCGAGAGGGCAGAGCAGAGGUUCAGAGUAGACAGAUGUUGAGUCCCAACACUGCCACUUCUAGCUGUGUGUCUUCAGGCAAGUUAUUAAACUGCUCUGACCUUCAACUUCCUCUUGCAACAACGGAAUAAUAAUCUCUUAUAAGGCUCUGUGAGGAUUAAAUCAUGCCACUCCUUUAAUAAUGCCCAGCACACGCCUUUGGGUCAUUUCAUUAACAAGGUUAAAAAGAUUCUAGGUAACACCUCUGGGUCUAAGUUAGGACACAAAGUAUAUUUUAUAAAUACCUUCCAAGGGGUGGGGGUGAGAGCCCUGGGUAGAAAAUCCCAAACUAAUUCCCAGUGCUCCACUUACUGGCCUCAUGACUCUAAGGUCGCCAUACCUGAAAAUUGCAAAAAACACCCUCCAGCCAACUUGGCAAUGGAGAUGACAAGGAUGAGAGCUACAGAGUACCACGCAAGGUAAUCAGAGAGGAGAUAACCUCUGCUUCAACACUUUCUAGACAGGGGAAAUAUGGGGAAUACCAGAUGUUCCUCAUUAUCUUCCCAGCCAGGGCUCCAGAUCCCAUUUCUCACCAAUGAUCUCUGAAGCUCUGAGACCCCAGCAAACAGGUUAUUCAAGGAAGCUAAGGGUGACAAUUACGUUCAAGAAGGCUCUGCUCUUACACAGUGAAGAAAGAGAUAAUGUAGAGGAAACCAGGCCAAGGAUGCCAGCUUUUCUGUGCAGGGGCCUAGUCGGCUUCUCAUCUGCAGCUCCUGGCCAGAGAACUCGGUUGACAAGAAGAGCAGCCAGCCAGGUCAGCGUCUGCACUACCGGAUCCCAGCCACUCCAGAGCCCCAUGGUUAUUUUUGGCUGACGCGGCCCCACCGCUGCAACCUCAAACCUGCCACCUUACAAGCCGCCACCACCGGGUGAAACGCUCCUCCUUUUCAAGGGCAUGGAGGAGGGAAGCUGGAAGGCCGCCAACUCCGCCUCGACGGGGGCCUGGCUCAGGCAACUCCCACUCCAGCUCCACACCAGGGCACCCGCACCCGGAACUAAAGCACACAGACUCCCCCGGACCAAGGAACAGCUCCAGCAUUUGUAGUGUCAGCUUGACUCGGCCCCUCCCCCGGGGCUGGAGAGGCUCCAUCAUCACAACAAAACAGGCUGGAGGCCUGCGGCCCUCGCUCGCGUCCCUUCCUGACGCGCCUUGGGUCUCAGAGAUCCAAGCCCCUUCCCCCAUAACCGCCGCCAGCGGCGGCGAGGGGCUACCCGGGGGACAGGCGGAUGGCCAGCCUGAGCUAGAAUCAAACUUCAGGCCGCGCGUGGAGGAGGAGUCUGCAGGCCUCGAGCAGAGGGUAUGGGAGGAGUCUGAAGGCCCCUCCAGGCUCUCCCAGGAACUGCACUGUGCAGGAGCCCCAUGGACCUGCCUCCCCUCUUGCCCCCACCGCACUCCUAUCACUUCUAGCCACUGGACUGUGCCUGCUCACUGAGCGCUACCGGAGGGUGCAGAUUCUCUGCUCUUCGCUGUUCCCAAAUUAGUGGAUGAUGGUGGACUCUGGAGCCUGAAUACUGGGCACAAGCCAGGCCCCCAUAGAGCACUCACUACGUGACCUUGGGCAAGUCACUCUCCCUCUCUGGGCUCAUCUGUAAACAAAGAAACAGACACCGAGAGCAGCUGCAGCUCUCCAUCAGCUGCGCAUGAGGGUUCCGUCCGGCAAGCGUGGAAAAGGCUCACGUGGCUCGCAGUCACAGAAGUGUCGCUCCCAUCAGUCCGCGCUUCACGCCACCGCACGCGCGGCUGCCCGGAGGUGCAGGCCAUGGCAGAGCACCCCCCACAAGCCCCCAGAUUCUGCACAGGGCAGAGCUCUGUCAGCUGGGCCAUGUGCUUCCAGAAUCCAAACCCUACUCAACUCUAUUGCUCUACACUCUUUCCAUCUACUGACUUAACUGAAGCAGAGUUUUGCAGAGGGGGACUCUGGCAGGGUGGAAGGACAGAAUACCUCUGAGACUGCUUCUCCAGUGUCAUCUGCAAAAUGUUCUCUGCCCUCCCUGCCAUUCACACCACUGCUGUGGGGGCUGCCGAGUUCUCAGUGGAUGUGUCCAGCACGGGGUCCCGAGCCCAACUGAGCCAAUGGCCCCUUCCUGAUCACUAGACUUGAGACAAAAUCAUAGUUCUCACCGGGGCUGAAGACUGGACACAGAAGUUGGGAAGUGUCAACUGCUCUUUUUCACAGUGGAUAAAGCUGCAUUUCAGUGACAGCAAAUGGAGCCGACAAUUUCCAGGAAGUGGAAUUGGGAUGGAGAGAUUUUGGUUCAGCCCAGGAAGUCUCAUGUAUGGAGAAGGCAUAAACCUGACUUUUGGGACGGUCAUGUCAUGUUGCUCUGUGGCCUGGACAGCAGGGUGGGCUGGUCUUCAGGAGAGGUGUACCUUUCAUGGGCAGCCCAGGUCCCGCUGUCCUUGGGCUCCUCCACACCCCGAAAAUAAAUCCCUCUCCUUUCUGUUUA